AUACAGCGACCACAGACCAGCCGACGCGGCCACUGCGCCAGACAACUUCCCGGUUGAAAUUGCGCCACAUAUCACGGCAAUAAUUGCAAAGCCAAGCAUGAUAGAGCCUGUUACUAUCGACCCAAUCGCUGUACUUCUAGACAUCACCAUCUUGCAAAUUCUGCUUGACUUUUGUGCUCGGUUGCCUCGAGAAAACGUUUCAAAAUGGCCAAGCGUGCCUGCUUUAAU